rnacentral:rRNA from 1 species
UGAGGAAUUUUGCGCAAUGGGAGCAAUCCUGACGCAGCAACGCCGCGUGGGUGAUGAAGGCCUUCGGGUCGUAAAGCCCUGUCAGGUGGGAAGAAUGUCCCGGGACUGAACAGGUUCCGGGAGUGACGGUACCACCAGAGGAAGCACCGGCUAACUCCGUGCCAGCAGCCGCGGUAAUACGGAGGGUGCAAGCGUUAUUCGGAAUUACUGGGCGUAAAGCGCGGGUAGGCGGUCCUGCAAGUCUGAUGUGAAAGCCCCGGGCUGAACCCGGGAAGUGCAUUUGAAACUGU